GUUUUUGUUUUUGAAGUCUGUUAUAUUCUUUCCUUUUAGCGGUUGCUAGAAUAUUCCAGAACAUUAUAGCUAUCCGUUGGUAUUGUUAAUUAGGUAAGGCUCAUUAGAGGUUGAAUUAGGGAAGGUUGGAUUAGAAUUGCGUUUCUUCAAGAAGUUAAUAGGUCUGUGUAAUUUGGUUUAUUGAAUUAGAAUUGUACUUGGGCUGAGCUGUAUUUUCUUGGCAACCAUGGCGGACUCGAUUGCAGCAACAUCUCUUGUGGGGUAUAGACCCAAUUGCAGGGGAUUUUCUGUCACGAAUUCUUCCUACAGAAGGAAAUCUUCAACUUCGAGUAACUGUCGCUUCUUAAAAUCAGAAUUUAUGGGCAGAAGGAUUGUUUGUUUGUCUCCAAAAUUGAAAGCUGACAGGUUUGUGAAUACAUCAAUUAAGGCCCUUGCAAUGGAAUUAACAAAAGAGGCAUAUUCAUAUAGAGAAGAGGAGAGAAUACCACGCACUUGGAGUUACCGUCCUGGCACUGGUAUUGAUCGAAAACCAGGUCUGUGGCCACCAGAAAAUAGAGCAGAUAACCCUUCGUUGCAUAAUCCUUUGCUUCGACAAGAAAGGAUGGGUUGUGGCUGGGGGGGGGGCCAAUUUGGAUGGGGGGGUGUCAUAAUUGAGGAUAAUCCUGAUCUUGAUAAGCAAGCAUGGCUUGCUCUUUCUCAAGAAGAAGGAAAAUCCCCUCCACCAGCUUUCAUUUUAAGACGACUAGAAGGGAUGAAGAAUGAACAAGCAAUAUCUGAAGUUCUGUGUUGGUCAAGAGACCCAGCAGAACUGAGAAGAAUGGCCACUAGGAAGGAAGAAAUUUACCAAGCUUUGCAAGGUGGGAUAUAUAGAUUACGGUCUGGCUCGAAAGAGUUUGUGAAUAUUUUGAUGCAUUACAAGAUCCCAAUGGCAUUGAUAUCCACGCGUCCAAGGAAGACUCUUGAGACUGCAAUUGGAAGCAUUGGUAUCAAUGGGUAUUUCACUACGAUUGUAGCAGCAGAAGAUGUUCACAGGGGGAGGCCUGACCCUGAGAUGUUUGUUUAUGCAGCACAGCUUCUAAAGUUUAUUCCAGAGCGUUGUAUUGUGUUUGGGAACUCCAAUCAGACUGUGGAGGCUGCACAUGAUGUUCGGAUGAAGUGUGUUGCUGUUGCUAGCAAGCAUCGGAUUUAUGAGCUCAGUGCUGCAGACUUGGUGGUGAGGCAUCUAGACGAGCUUCAAUUGUUGAUCUCAAGAAUCUUGUUGAUAUUGAAUCACCAGAAUUUGGUUCCCCUGAACCAGAGAUGGAGUUGGAGGAGGAAGAGGAUCGAUCAACUGCAGUGGGAGUUGAUGAUAUUUUCUGGUGACUCCUAUGAAAUUGUACAGUUUGCUUAGCACUUUAUUAAUUUCUUGUUGGACGUUAGUCCUAUAUGUCUCUUGUAACAUCAUUGAAAACCAUUAGCCCUUGUGUUUUAGGGGCAAACAAGGUUAGGAAAAAACUGAAAGGGAGGGGGGGCA
rnacentral:misc_RNA from 1 species